AGGACCUUAUCUGAUAGCCAUAUAUGGGAAGUAAGUGUUCUGAGCUCCAAGUGCUGAGGUACAAGGGAGAGUAGUGCAAGCUUUCUAGUCCUGGGUGGAAUCUUGGCAGUUGUUUGGUACCCUUCCCUGGACAGUCUCUAAAAGAGGGUGGUGGCAACUGCAGUAACUUGUGAAGAGCUUAAUGCAGAAUGAAAUGCUGCAUAACUUUCAGCUGGCGGAAAUAAUCAAGGAUUGUAGCUAAUGGGUUUCUAUCAGGCCUUGCCAAAACAGGUGCUUCAGGGCAUGCGCAAAGACCUGCAGAGCUAAGGGAUUGGUAUCUUUAGGUUUCUUCUGUAUACUAUUGUUUCCACAUGGAUGUCAGUUAACACCUGUCUUGCACCAGAUUUAAAUAGGAAUGUUGGAAUCAUUACAGGAAUUCUGGCUUCCAUUUAGUCUCCAGUCUAGUAAAUGAAGUAAGGCAUCGUGUUUUCCUGGUAAAUAAAAGAUUACAUUCUUCAGUUGUGCUCAGAGGACUAAACAGAAUCCUUUCCAUCGCAGAUGUUUCCUUUAACUUGCAAUAAUGCUCUACUUCACAAAACUAAAACAAAAAAAAACCCUAGCAGGUUGGAUACUGGAUAACUUUUGUACAGUAAUCCCAAUCUUCUUUUUAAGGGAGGUGGAUAAUACAUUCAAGUGACCUUGUUGCCUGGGUUCUAAGAUAAGGAAGGUUUUUCAUGCUGAGGUAGUUAAGUAGUAUCUGAGGAAACAGGCAGUUUUAACUCUUCAUAGCAGACCUCUUCUGCAGUGGAGUUGAAUUUAUUCAUAGUUUAUAGCUGUUCUUCGUAGGUGGUGUUAUUUUCAACAUCUGGGAUAGUUUACAUUUUCUCAGAGCCACAGAAGGCUAUAAAGCUCUCCUGCCUAAUUCCUUGGCCAGUUAUUCCAAUCCAGUGGAGGCAGCCAUUGGAACUCUUCAUUUUUUGAUGUUUUCUAAUUGCUACAACACAAGCUCUAAUGCUCCAUAAAGCAGUUGUCAGAAUGCUUUAAGCCUGGAGUUGACGUGCAUCAUCUUCAUCUUGCAUUUGUCUCAUUUUCAUUAAAACAGCAAAGAAGAAUGCUUGUUAGAUCUAAAUCGUGUGCUGCUUUUUGAUUGUUUCCAUUCAAAUAACAAAGGAAAGACAGUUCUUUGACUACUUGGAUCCUUCUUUGUGUUGGUAAGGACUUGGUGCUAAGUAAAUUAUGUCAUUCAUGUAUUCUGCACACCCUGCAGCAUUUGGCUGGCCUGUGACAGAACACCUCUUACUUUAAAAAUACACAGAUCAGUUAGUAAAUACAGCAUGCUUGCACUGGAGGUCUCCAAUGCAUACUGUGGCAAGUACCAGAGAAACUGGUUUUGUUACUGGAAGGAAAACAUACUGUGUGAGAAGACCAGCUGUGAGAGAUGAACUGUGGCUUGGAAGCUGAAUCUCUAUGUGCUCUUUCUUGCAGAUGUAUUGGACCUUGGUCAAGUAAUAUCUCCUCGUUGUAUCAGAAAUAUUAAUCUAUAGAAGCACUGUCAGGAGCUUUGUGCUGCUGCGUUCAUCGCUGUUUAAAAAUGUCUUAAAAUAGUUGUUUCUUUUUCUGUCCUAAAGUCAUUUUUUUAAACAGACACAUUAAAGUUGCCUUAUCAAAGUAUGAGAACUUUGUGUGUGGAAGAACUUGUCAAAUGUGUAGAAGUUAUAUGUGGGUUUAUAAUGAAAUCUGCUACGCAUGUCUGACCUUUUAUUUCUGUUCAAAUAUGUAAGGAAGCUCUCAUUUACCACUGAAAUGCAGCUCUGUAACAGCUGAAAAACAUCACUGAAGACAAAGGCAUUUCAUAUCCAGCUAAAUUACAGAGAACAUUGUCAUGCAAAGCAAAAUUAUGAGUUCUGAGACCUAACUAGAGAAGGUGAUUUUCUUUUUUCCAAGAAGUCCUAAAUGUUUCUGUGCAGUAACCUGCCCAGCAUGCUGACUCUUUUUCAUCGUACAGCCUGUAGCCACAGUUCUUAUCUUUUGCUGAUGGAUCUUAAAGUUUCCCAGAUGUGGGAUGCGUCUACUGGGUCCUGGCACUUUUCCAUGUAGAAAUGUGCAUGCCUCGAGGACGGAACGUCAGGCCAAACCCAUGGUGACAGUGAUAUCUCUGGGACACCUAAGCCAGCUGAAGAGGAGCACUGUGGAUUCUAUCAUCAGGUCGGAGCCGUAUUCCAAAAUUAUCUGAAGAUGAAAUAAACCAGUUUCUCUCGGAUGGAUCUUGAUCUCAGCAGGUAAAAAGUAAUCAGUGAAAGCACAAUAAUGGUUUUGGAGCCUCUGGAACAAAUUUUGUUGGCUUUUCUCGAUAUGUAUUUUGAAUGACACACAAAGUUGUUUUGCUCUGAACUUAAGCAAGAAGUAGCCAGAAACUUAGGGUGCUCAUGCUUGCUCCAAAGUAAGCUCAACUAACUGGUAUCUAAGCAACAGUUCAGAAUGCAACACCUACACUCUUAUGACUUCAUAGGUUUUCCCCUAACAAAUUUGCAUUCUGCUCUGUGAUGCGCAAAGUGUAGCCAAGCAAGCUUCUGACAGGUGUUCUGUCUUGCAUGUAGGAUCUGUUGACAGAAGAAUAUAAGAAUAUUCUUGGUUUCUUUUUAAACAGUGUGUGCUUCUUGCUGAUGCUCUGGGAUGGGAGGAAGGGUGUCCACACACAGACACUUGAAGCAAACAGAAGGAAUGCUAAGAGGAUACAGUCUUCACCUUGCUUCAGAAAUAACAUUUUAGUUUACAACAUUUUUUAAUGUGCUUUUGUUCACCUUGCAGAGAUACAACUAAGAGCAGUCACUUUCACUACUGUUUCAUCCCUCUAUUUUUCCUGCCCUUCUGAUCUGUGCAUCUGUUUCUGUUAGUAAAACAGCUUGCUGCUUACCUUCCCUUGGCCAACAGUAAAAGUGAAUUUGCAGCAGUUGUGUAUACUAAAACACGAGCUAGUAUUGUACCAUCUCUACACUGCUCAAGAUGCUGCAGUUCUGUCUGCUCUCACCCAGUACUCUUCGCUGUAUUACUUGCUUGCUCAAAUGUAGAUAUUUGUCAGAUCUUAAUGUUCUUCUGUCAUGGUUUAAGACUUCCAAGUCUUAACACUGAUAUGGUAUGAAACAAGAACUAUUUCUUCACUGCAGGAAAUCUAGCAGGUAAUUUUGCACAAUGUAGCUGAACUUUUUUAUAUCAUAAAGUGUUGUGAUGAUCAGGCUCGAAGAGACUAAUGUUCCCUACAAGCUUACACUUAAGCUACCAACUGCAGAGGGGUUUGCCCCAAAUCCCUUUCCAAGUAGGCAGUUCCUGCUGAGCUACCUACAAUAGUGGGGGGGUGACUUCCAUGGUAGUUUGAAGGUUAUGUGAGCCUUACUAUGGAGAGGAUACUGGUAGAAAGAAAGAUUAUACAUAUGGACUGAUGUGCUUAGUACUUAAAAAAUAAUCUUUAUUAUAACUUAAAUGUGAUAGGAAAUAAAUGCCACAAAACUAAAGGGGGAGGGGAAAAAAAAAAGCAGAGGUCAGUACAAAAGAACACCUUGAAAGAACUCAGCUGAUGGGACAGGUGUGGUACAAAAACCAGAACAUGGUUACUCCACCUUCUGUAUAAAGAGUCUAUGUCCCUCAGUAAACAAGUAAGCAUUUUGAACUGUACAAAAUGUACCUUUUUAAUUGAAGGAAGAAUAUAUAUAUUUAUAAAUAUACAGAUAUGUACAUUGUUGUAACAUUCACGAUAAAAAAAAAAAACCAACCCCGACAAAAACCAAAACAACUUCUGCCUGCCAAUGUGUUUGGCGCUCAAGGCUUCCUUUUGAUGUGGAUUGUUUGCAAUCUUUUCUAUGUAGUCUAUGCAAAUUCGGAUACUAUAAUUGACACCUAAAUAUCAUUUCAUGCAUAAUGAACACAGUACAGGAACACUCUUCUGUUAAAUUCUGUUCACCUCCUCUGUUAUCUUCAGGCUCAUAAUCAACAGCUUGAAGCACUGUCUUUCAUUCUUGCAGUGGGGGAGUGAAUGCGUUCACUUCACACUGUUUAUUACUGCCUCCAAGGUCUGCUUUAGUUUGUUUCAGUUCUUUAUUGAAAUCAUUCUAUGGAAGCUAUCCUCCACUAAUUAGAGUGUAUGAAAUCCAAUCCUGCUUGCAACUUGCAGGACAGAAUGGCUUUGGGGACUCGUGUAAUUAGCUGUAUUCAUCACUACUUCUUGGAAUAAAUAAAUGCGCUUUACCUUUUCAUUUAGUUUUUCAAAACCUACGUGGUUCUUUGAUCCCCCUCAUGAAUCUCCGGAUUAAUGAGGGUUCAUUGCUGGAGGCUGAGAGAAAGGAAAUAAAAGAGCAGUAGAGGCAUUCAGAAUGAGUCACUGAAGUGACACCUCCUGGGGCUUGCAUCGUGCUGCUUCUGGAGGCAAAACUUGAAGAAACUCACUCUGUAUUUCAUUACUGAGACAGCACCGUGGUGUCCUGGGCUGCUGGAGUGGUUCUGGAAACGCUGCGAGGCAACGGGCACUUGGUUCAGCAUUGGAGAGAAAGCUGCUUUGUGGUUGUGCUCGAGUAGCCUCCUACUCAUCCACUUCAGGUACACAUCACGUGUCUAAAGUUUUCAUGACCAUUUCAAGGAAGUAAAUGUAAUUAAUGCUCGGUAAAAUAGACAAAGAUGCCAUACUCUAAAAACUCACAGGAGUUUGCUGAGGCCGAGUAACUGCAAUUGCAUUACUUAGUACAAAGCAGUCAAGAAAGUAUUGUUCCUCAGCCUCAUCUGGCUGUUCCAUCAUAAGCUGCAGAGAGGAGCCAAUAGGAACUCUUUAGCCAUGUUUAGAUUUUGCUUUUCCUUUAAAAUGUUGCUGAAUUGCUACGUUUUGGGACACUGCUUCAAAGUCUUCAUUCUACUUCCCAUGCUUAAUGGCAGCUCCAUCCUCCUUUUGUGGCUGUUCCACUUAGGCAGGUUCUCUUCCUAGAAAGCUGUGGCAGAUUCGGUUCCAUGGCGACUCCCAACUCUGACAAAUUCCCGAGGGAAUUUAUCCAGCUGCUCGUAGGCCAGUCUCCCAUCUUCACCUGAACACAACAUGUUAAAGCAUCAUAGCAUCAUGUACCAUUACCAUACAACCUUUCAACCAUUGGAUUCUCUGCUAUUAGAAGGUUACCGGUAACUUCAGAAAUUACUUGGAAAUUUAAGUGUGCUUGUCUGACUAACUUAAGGAUUACUUGGAAAAAAAAGGUUCCAACUAUUUCUUAAUUUGCCCUUGUGGGUUGCUGGUUUUAUUUAGAGCAGAACAGUAGCAGCUGUGGCUUGUGUGGCUAGAUGACAGUAUCUGUACAACUGUCUUACUUAAAUGACCUGCAGUGCUCCGUGUCUCAGCUGCAGCUGUAAUAUACUUGAAGCAAAUGAUUAUCCAUUUCUAAUUUAGGCAUUUUCACCCACUUCUUGCUUUCUGGCACUCUUAAGAAGUGAGUCUAACCACAUCGUGAGUUCACCGUUAGCAAUCAAAAAAGGUCUCUGUACGUCAUCUAGAAGAAUGGUACCAUCUCCCAGAGUUGACACAAGUGACAUAGGGUUAAAUGUUUCAGAAUCUGAGCAACAACAUGUUGGCAGCAAAGUGAGUUCCUGCUAAAUUGGUAACUGAAGAGUGUGUGUUUGAUGAAUUUGCAUAAGUAAAAUUAGAAAUGGAUGUAUACUCAUGAGGAAAACUCAUGAGUUUUCCUUAGAGUUGAGGAUGGACCAGGAAAAUACAGCUUUGUUGUUUUUUUUUCAAUACUGGAGCAGUGCCACUUAAGUACUGGGGUCCCGAAACUGUGCAGCCACAGUUGUAGUCACACUGGUACACAGCUAGAUUACAGGUUAAUGAGCAGGGUGGCUGUUGUCCCAGGGAAAAAUGAAGGUCUCUGCAAGGUGCCCGGGGUUCUGUGUGAAGGAGCUGUUGCAGGUUAGGAUCUGUCCCAGUAAGCAUAUGGAGAUCAUUCAGCUCAAAUGAAAGCUUGGUGGUGCUAAUGGCACUUGCAAGUGGGAUUUGUUUCAGUAAGCUGUUUAGGUAGCUAGGAAGUGCAGGGUACAGUGACAGCAGAGGAUGCCCAGGAGGACAGGGUGUGGUAUGUUGCAGAAGGGGAGCUGGUCCUGCCUCCUCAAGGAUGAGAGGUUACGCUCCAUAGGAGAAGCAGAACACAAAUGCUGUUCUUCUACAUAACUUUAAUAAAAGGUGUUGUACUGAAUGCCUACACUUGUUUUUCAAGCAUAAAGUUAUUAUGAAGUAGAUCUCUUUUGUCAACUUUUCCUUUGCUAUUUUUCCCUUUCUGCUCCCCCCCCCAAACUCAGAUAGUUCAAUUUCUCUCUUUUUGGUCCAUUUUUCAUGAUUUUCAGAAUGAAUAAUUUUGAAGAACAUAUGCUUUUAACCUGUUCUUGCGUAAUUCAGAUGUUUUACGUGUACUUCUGUUCAAAAAGAAAACAAAAUGCUGCUGUAAAGCAGGCAACUCACCAAGUGAGAGCAGAGUUUCAGAGGCUACUUUUCUAAUCUCUUCAUUGUCAGACUGGCAGAGCGUGACCAGCAUUUUAAUACUCUCAGUAGCCUGGAAAAUAGAAAAAAGAAUCGUAUUAACACUACCUAUUAUGGUUUAAUUUCAGAACAUCCUAUGGGAGUAUUUACCACCCUCUGUGUUUCCUUUCCCAUUCACUAUGCAGAUGGAAAUGCCAUCUUGUGUCCUUGGUCUCGUCUUAAAAGGGUUCACAAACCAAACUGCGUGACAACGUGCACACCCCUCUGCCCUGCCUCUCUUCAUGCAGGAUGAGAAGGGCUCCUGCUCCACUAGCUUUGGCCAGGAGGUUGUGCAGGGGAAGCUGCUGGAGCACCCAGCUCACCUUUCCUCAGCACUAAGAUGAGAAACCCCAUGUCUCAAGCUUCAUGUGGGAGAAACUAUCACUCUGCUGUAGGUCUAUUGCAUGGAGUAUAUAUUUUUUUGCUGUGUCCAGUACCAGUUGAGUUAGCAAGCAACUGUUUUUCCUUUCUUUUAUGGGAAGUAGUGCAGAAGUGGUACCGGAGGUGAGCUGAUAACGUAGCGUGGCCUAAACUUCCUCUUACAGUCUCUCUGUGCAGUGUCACAAUUGAGCUAUGUAUCUCUUCUCCCGCUACAAUCUGCAUGCGUUAUAGCUAGUUUUAUCCUAGAAAAGGAUUAUUUUCUUCCUCUCCUUCAAAACAAAGCUUCUAAACUGUUCCCAAACAAGGAAGCUGUAAAGCGAUGUGCAGCAAUGCAAAACAAAAGCAGUACUGCUGCUAUUACAAUUUCUAUUUUGCAUUCUCACCUCUCAGAUGUCCUUUCUUUAAAGUAACGCCAAGCACCACAACUAAACUCCUUGUCUCUUACCUUGAGGUAUCUUAGAGCCAGGCAGGCUGCUUUCUGCAGCUGGAGGUUGGGCUGGGUUAGGGCUUCACAGUAAUAAAUCAAGGCCUGGAAAAAGAUAAAGAGGAGUAGCCAUGAAAAUGUCUGUGACUGUGUGGAGCAGCAGGCUAGAGAGUGGAGUCUGUCACGAAUGGCUGGAAGUCAACCCCUAAUUUCUUCUCAUUCCUUUUCUCUCAUCUCUUUAAUGUCUGUGUUUAAGAUGGUCCUAUUUCCUGCCUUCAUCAUCUGUGCUAGACUCACAUCUGAGGUGGGAGAUCUCAGUUGCCAGCUUCCUUUGGGAAAAAAAAUGCGACCUACAUCUUCGUGUGUUGAUGAUGCUGGGGACUUGCCUUCAAGCCAGGUUUAAGCAGGAGGUACCUGUUUCUGCAAGCCCUGGACAUUCCUCAUUCACAGUGGCAGCAAAAUUGAUAUCCAGCUGCUUCAUCAUCUUGUCUGCAGUCGUGUGAUAAACUCCCGAAGGACCAGUACACUUCAUCCAGAAAGCCAGCAGCGACAGCUUCUUGUGGAACUCUGGGAUUGCUGAGGGAGAAGACAAAAUGAAAGGUGAAACAAAGUUGUGCUCAGUGCGUUGUCUUCCUAAAGGGAAAUGUGAUAGGUGUGGAGGACAUCCACUCCAUCUCGCUGACGGAAGGUAGGUCACCCUGUGUCACUACCUUCACAGAGGUGGUCACGUGCUGACCCCAAGUUUGUGAUGUGUUGUUUCUGUUUCCCAAAAGAUGUGAGAAAAUCUGCUCCCGAUCCAGUUCUGGACACUGAUGUCUCAUCUCUUUGAAUACCAUGAAUUACUAGGGGAAAUACUAGGGGAAAUGAAUGGUCUGCAUGAGACUGGUCCUUGUCCAAGCACUGCUCUGUAGCCUUGGGUAAGUUACUCCAUUUUGGGAUAAACUGUUUGAGGAGUUGUAUUAUGACUCCUGUAGCAUAAGGCAGAUCUUGGCUUUCCUCAGGAAAGAGGUGGAGGACAAGUUUGACUGCAGAAGUGGCAGCAUCCCCACCCCGUUCCUGCAGCUACCCCUGCCCACCUUCUGCAUGUCAAGCAGGAUAAGGAUCAGUACAGCCCUUUCUUUCCUCACCUGCUUAUUUCUGAAUAGCAGUACUUAAGACAGAAUAAGGUGAGGCUGGAUAAGGCCUGGGCAACCUGAUCUAGCUGUGGUGUCCCUGUUCGUUGCAGGGGAGCUGGACUAGAUGGCCCUCCCUUGGAAGGGAGAUAGAUCCCUUCCAACUCUAAGGAUUCUACGAUGCUAUGAAUAAGGUUCCUGACCAACUUCAGCGACUGCUACAUCCAUUUGUGAGUUAUCUCCUGCUAUGGUGGCACUCCCUGCAGUCACGGUGGUUAUUUCAGCAGGCCCGCUGCCCAAACCAGCCCUUUUCAGAAGGAAGACCCCUAAUGUGUCUCUUACCAUCGGUAAGGGAGGUGAUGCUUCCCAAGUUCUCGGUGCUGAUCUCUGCAAUAUUCUCCAUUACAAGAGUCUGCCUGGACAGCUUAUCAAGGAGGUCUCUUGUCACAAAUGGUGUUUUACCGGAGAAGACAAUUUGCUAAUGGAGACAAGAUGGAAAGGAAGAAAAGGAGUCAUUUUGAAACCUCAAAACAAAACUUAAACCUCUGAAACACCUGGCACCUGAAGAAAUGAGAUGGCAAAUUCUUUGCCUGGAAUUAUCAAAUAUUUCUUGUUGCUCUGCUUUGUUUUGGCUCCGAUCCCCUGCCCAGCUGCCUGUGUUUGGUGCUUUCCCAUGGCCAAUACGCCCUGCUGCUGACAUCUGCAUUUCCUUCAGCAGUCCAACAUCAUUCAUAUCAAACCUGGACAGAGUUCAAGCCUGCCUCCCUCAGCUGCAUAUUUACUGUGAGCUCUUGUAUAUGAGCCAAAAACUCCCUUUUUCUCAUACUCGUGAGUCAGCGGAGUGUCCAGCUCAGUGCUAAGGGUACUGGAAUUAGGGUUGUUCUGCAUUGCCCCAGUGGGCUUCUGGGAAAAAAUGCUGAUUAUAUCUGAAGUUGAAGAGUCCGCUCCAAAAUGCUGUGACCGUUGUGGUGGGGGUGAAGAAUACCAGGAGGUGAGGCUCCCACUGCCACCACAGCCAUCCCAGCACUCGCUGGCCUUGCCAAACCAUUUACACCCACAAAAAUGUAAAAAUAUAAUGCAGAAAUGAGCCGGGCUCGGUACCUGGAUGAGCUGUGUGCAGUACUGCAAGUGCUUAACUAUGGUUAUAUCGAGGCUGUCGCUUCCUGUGGUCAGGGGAAGAGGGCUGCCAGCAACGCUGGUGCCGACCCCUGUGUCCUCGGUCAGGGCUUCGCUGAGGUGGCCCCUGGCUUCGGGGUGCUCAGUCCUGUAACUGCAGAGGGAGGAGGAGGUCAGUGUGGGGCUGUGGCUGCCCGGGCAGACAGACACACGCUCACUCAGAGAUGGGCAACGAGCACGGAGCAGAGCUGAAAGCAGCGCCCUGGGACCACAUAGCCCUCAGAAAGCCAGAAACAUGGUGAUGAAGACAUCAUGUCACACGUGAGCAGUGGUACGUGAAGCAUGGUAGGGACAGGCCUUGAACAACGUGGUGUCUGCACCAGCAAGUGUCUGUAACCUUGCUGUCACAUAGAGGCACAAACAUUGGGAGUAAACACCCAUUUCUCAGUAAAUCAUCUCCCGUGUUAGUCCAGAAGAAGCAGCGUUACAGUUUGUGUCAUCUCAAGUACUGAGCUGCUGAGAGCAGAUGUAGGCUAUCAGCAUCUUCCUCGUGCCAAAUUUAGUGGUCAUUGCAGAAAGAAAGGAAAACCACUGCUGGAAUAAGGGACAUGAUAUUUUCAUAGGCUGUUUUAGGCACACUGUGUACAGCUUAGUUUGCCAGUAGUUUCUGUAAGAGCAUAAAGCUGUUCUCGCUGUGUUUUAAAUCAUUAUUUCCAACUUCGUCUUGUACAAAUGGUCCUCCCUGCGUUUAAAUACAAAGCCCAAGGUCGGUCCCCAGGCUGCAAGUGUGCUUGGCUGCAGGUCUAGGAGCGUCAGCGCCUGCGAUCCUUACACUGAGUCACACGCAGCUAAAAGUGGAAGCUGGAAUCCACGCCGUCUGGGAUGAGCCCAGGGGGAAAAAUGAGAUUUUAACUUCUACUUCGAGAUUCCAGUUGGGUUCCAAGUUAGUUUGCAACUAACCUCAAUUUCUUCUGCUUAAGUUAAAAUCAUGCUGAAGUGCCUGCCCAAAGCCAAAUCUUUAAAUCAAUGACCUAAGCUCAGAAUACCCAAUUUCCUGAGAUUUUCUUCCCACCAUAUCUCUGAGCGGGAAGAGACAACGCAGUGAAAUGAUGGGAACUGAACGUCUGUUGCUUGUUUGCACUCAGAAUUGCUUUGAACCCGCCACGAUAAGAUGUGAGAAGCAGAGCUGUCCCGUUGGAAAGCACGGGGGCUGAGGGAGCUGAGCUCUGCUUUUUCUUUUUUGCCUGCUCUAGUGCCACACAUGGGCAGUGCUAAGGAAGCCGGUGUGCUUUUAGGAUCUAAUGAUCGAAACACAGCAUCUUACGGUCACACAACAAUGGCAAACCACAACACAAAACAACACAGCUCUUUUUUUUUUUCUCUUUCUUUUUUUUCCCUCCAGAAGACCAGAAGUGAUGAAAGAAAGGCAGGUAACACGCAGGGCCAUGGACAGAGUACCAGUCAUCACUCUUACAUUCCAAAGGAAACCUACACCAUGCUGCUUAAAUCUGGCCCUGUGUUAUUGUUAUUGACAAGCUUAAUCCACUGCAAAGACUCAUUCGGCUAGAGAGAAAAGACAAAGGGAGGGGGGGAAAAACCACAGAGGAGUUAGUAAUUACAUCCAAGGAAAGCCAGGUCCAAACCUAUGUCAAGGAAGAGGCUCUGCCAGUAUCGAUGACAGCUUAAUUUAAUUUACCCAUCUCUUUUAGGGGGGGCAGAUUGUGCAUAUUUGAACAGGGAAAAGAUUAUCCUGGAAGCUAAAGAUUUGGUACGCAGCAGCCACCGGAAGCCCUCUGACCCUAUAAACUCCUCCAGGAUUUGUCAGUCUUCCUUGAAUAACGUGUGCACCGGGAUCCUCUGUUAGCAACAAAGAGCUGGGGGAAUCAGUUUGGCUUAAGCACAGCUGGCAGUUGCUCCAAACUUACCUAUUCUUCUCAACCUCAGUAUCUGAAAAUACUGAGUCUGCACCUCCUCCACCAUUACAAACCUCCUCACCACCACCAUCCUCAUCAUCAAAGUCAGAGGUGUUCAGGAAAUCAAAGCUUUCUAAAGCACUUUCAACUGUUAGACUUAAACUGGAGGACCUGCUUCGGCUUACUGCUGGCUUGCACUGCAAAGGCAGAACGAACCAAUGAAAACCCCAGAUAUUAGCUACUACUGAAAGAAAAACAUAGAGGAUAAAGCUUAAAAUUUUCAAAUUCUUCAUUUUAUUUAUGAUACUUCAUUUUAUUGGGUACUUCAUUUCAAACCUUCAUAUUCAUAGCAUACACAAUCAAAGCCUGGGAACUGGGAAAUCCUUCCCAUCCUCCUCCCCUCCCCAUCCUACCUCCUCUUUUCCCCAAAGAGAAGACCUGCAAAGGCAAAAAUCAGCAUGUUUUAUAGAAAGGACAUCCCAAGUCCAAGUGACGCAGCUUUCAGCAUCCUCCAAAAGGAGAGAUGGUAAUUAGAACACUGGAAUUUGAAAGAGAAAGGCACACUGUAUAAAGGCUGUUAGAGGUACAGAAGCAGAUUUAUAUGUAAAUAUAUAUACAGUGACACUACCGAAUGUAUUCCAGGUAUAACUCCAAUGAAGCUAAGCCAUACUGGUCCCACAUUUGCAGAUGUAUACAUGUGAUGGACGAGAGAGGACUUCUGUGGUCUUUCAAGCCACAUUGCUUAUGAAGGAAAAGCUAAUCAUGCAUCAAUUUCCUAGGUGACAGAAAAAGGUAGCAUUCUAACCUGUAAACCAACAGUGUCUAGAGAGGGAGGAAGUCAUCCUAUCUCACUGCUGGGAUGAAAUAUCACCAAGGCUUUGCGGGUGCUGCAGGAAGUACCAAAGCCCUGGUUACACGUGGUGGUUCAUCCAGGUGUGCCCACAGACUUGAUGCCAAGGUUACUUUGCCAGAGCAAAUGAUGAUCAGCAGCUGGAGUUGUGUGAGGACUUCUGCACCUCAUGCCCUGCAUGACCACUGAUGUACACUGCAGGUACAAAGCUGCAUCUUCCAGUCCUAAGUAGGAACUAGGACUCUGUUUCAGCUUGUAAAAGGAAACAAGCUGGCCUCCGAGUUUGGCCUUGGCUCCUCUAGAUCUGUCAAGGCUUUGAGUUUCGCUUCUAGUUCGUUUGCACAAAUUGUAUGUUAGCAUUCAUGAUGCUUGUCACCUUGAACCGACAGCACAGUCUUCCACUGUUCAAACACAGUCCACAACACCUCCACAGGGCUGUGUCAUGCUUCUGCGGCACAGAUGGCUUUAGCUGCCACGUCUUUCGAGUCUGGUAGUGCGGCUUCUUCAGGCAAGAGCAACAGCAACAUGUGGGUUUUGUGUUUCUCUGACCAUCUGACAUGGCCAAGAGAGCUUUCUUCAGCCACAGCUCGAUUCCAGCUCAGCCUUCUGAGCCCAGCACAGCCACUGCAGAUGCUGUACAUCCACCUGCAAGCUGGUCAAUAGCCACAUGCAGAUGGAAAGUAGGUCUGGGAGAAGCAGCCAUCCCCAGUGUGCAGGGUUCCUGUCUGCACAUCUGUCCUCUCUUCCACUAUCCCAUGCCUGUCCCUUUGUGGCUUCUGAUAAAAGGAACGUGAAUGAGCAGUCACCAUUGUCCCUCUGUUGCUUGGACGCUCAACUUCAUGGCAGAGCAGCCAUGAAGUUGAAAAUUAACAGCAACGGUAGCUUUGCCUGCUUGAAAUACUGGGGAAAUAGUACGAAAAUCAGGGGCUGCAGACUGUCAAAGAAAACCCCACUUUACUUGGAGAAAUACCAUGCAGCUGCAUACACCAAUGGAAACAAAGAUGAUAACAAAGCUGUGGGCUUUUUUUUUUUUGUAAAAAGAUGAAUGCUUCCCUCCUUCCUUCUCAGCCUUGUUUUUAAAGGAUGAGAUUCAAAUGACUAUCAGACCAACUUGCAUAUGAAUAUGAAGCAUUUGAAAUGAUUAUUUCCCAUGUGAUACUAUUUGCACAGUAACACGUCACAAGUUAUUAUUCACAGGGGAGAUAUGAGUCACAGUGAUCAGCAGGCAACAUAUUAACAACACACAUACAAAAUUCAUUACUUCUUUCCGAUCUUCAAUGUGUUUGGUUCAUCCUGGUGUAAAGACAGGAUGUCUUCUUUUAGAAAAUGCACGGGGGAAAAAGGGGAAAGGCUUGGGAAAAAAACAAGGAAGGAAUGGCAACCUUCAGUAGGAUCUGUGCUUCAAAAUCACUUUGGCAGUUUAGAAAAUUCAGCUGCCAUGCCUACAAGGCCUGAUCCUCAGCUGGUGUAGUUUUGCAGAGCUCUAUGUGGUUCAGUGCCAAAGUACACCCACCAAGGAUGCGGCCUCUGAGUUUUAAAGGCAGAAGAUUGGCUAUAAUCUGAUCUCCAGUAUGGCACAACUAGCAGGCUCUCAAGUGGCUUCUGCAGAGAAAGGCGUAAUGUAAUUACCCCUCUGCCAUUGUACCUUUUUCUCUUUCCCCCAAGGUUAGAGUAGAUUAAAGGAUCCGUUGCUUUGGCAUACAAGGCUACCACCAGCACACUGCAGACGCAAGUUUAAAAAUACAACACUGUGAAAGGGUGCUCCAACAGGAGCAAAUCUGUUAAGUGAUCUCUGAUUUGAUGUUUGCGAGGAACAGGAAGAGAUUCUACUCGCUCAGAUAUCCUUUAGUGUAGUACUUUCCGAAAAUGUACUCACUUUUAGGAUGUCAUCCAGAUGCAUCACUUCCUGGUCCAGGUCCUGAAACUCUUUGUACUGCUCUUUAUGCGGCUCAAGAGCUAAGAGAAGCCCUUGCAAGGCUUCCUCAAUGCUUCCAUCGAGAUAAGACUUGUAGCCUUCUGAUUCCCCACUGAUGGACCCCUCACAAGGCAACCUCUCUGGGGUCCCAGGCACCUCGGCAGAUGUCAACCUUUUCACCAGCUGCUUGGUGAUGUUGCCCUCAUAGGUGUCCAGCUCCACCGGCUUCAGCUCAGAACCUUCAUCCGUGUCUUGCAGAAGAGACACCGGGACGUUUGCCUCUAUGAAGACACGAUCACUCCCAGCAUUGGAGGGCUUUUGGCAAACUUCAGAACGUGCCCUGGGGGUGACCUUGUUCCCGGUCACCACUGCCUCUCCCGGGGAUGGCAGGUCCUUGGGCUCAGGGACGGCGUCUCCGCAGGAGUCACUGCUGCUGCAGUCUGGGCUCGAGCUCUCGGACGACUUGAGAGCUCGGUGCUGGGUAGCAGCGGUGGUGAUAUCGGGGCUGGAGCUGACGUGAGCAGAGGAGGGCUCUGCUGGGUUGGCAGGGGGCACGCGGUCUUCAUAAGGCAGGUCGCCAAAAGUGAAGGAAAGAGGCCGUUUCUCAGUGGCUGCCGUUCCAUUUUCAAAGACAUCAUCUGGCAAGUUUGACUGAAAAGAUAAUUGAGAGAGAAAAUGUCUUUCAUGUCUCAUUGGAAAGAAAAAAAAAUCAUCUAUGUGUCUGGGAAAGACAAAUGCAAGGAGUAAGAUUAGAGAAGCAGUCAAGACUUGAGAAAUGGAAAAAUCACUCGAAAUCCAAUUUGUGCUUUCAUCUGGGACAACUCCUGACUCCAGCAGGAUUCUGCUGGGAACUCCAGGUUCAACAUCUCUUUGGGGUAAGCCAAGAGCUCUGGUAAGCAUGUCCCAUAGCAGCCCUAAGCACCGCUUGUCUAAGCAAAUUGACUCCGACACCACUUCCAUUGCACUUCCCACAAGAAGUGGGGCAAUGUCCUUCUUGGUGGGCUGCACUUAAGUUAUCUUGGCUACAUUUUCACAUUCUUAGAGAUUUCUGUCGUAUUUUUUUCCUGACUUCUAAAUUAGCAAUCCCUAAACUGUACAACAGUCUGCUCCAAAAGUUUCUCCACUGUCACAUCAUUUUAAUGGGGAUAUGACCCUGCUAUCAGGUUUGAAGCAUCACAGAGCUGUAGUACAAAUCCUAUUAUCUUACACAAUUUUCAGAACAGAAAGAAAGGCAAAAAGCAGUAAGAAGGGGAAGUACAAAAACCUGCCUGGAGCCAGAAUGUAAUAAAUCAAAGCCUGAAAUUUCACACUGAUGGACUCCGAAGCAAAUUUUAGCCUUCAUUACAUGGCAAACUCAUGCAAAAGCACAGCACAGAUGAAUGACAACUAGUAUUUUGCUGACAAUUUGCUGGAAGGAACUAUAAGCACUCACAUGUUGGCAAGGCACUUAGAGUUAAAAUGUCCAAAAUUUGCAUCAUUUUCCCAGCAGCUUUUUUCCCUAAACAUAACGAUACUCUACGAUUUAUUUCUUCUUUCCCCUCACAGGAGUACGCUUUCAACCUCUCCUUUACUGCUGAAAGUCAAGUCACUCAGCAAAUGUAUAACAUCAGUCAGUAUGACACACCAUUUUUAAUAAUGCCAUUUUUAAGAAUACCAUAUUGGCUUGUGCUCCUGCCCUGCACUCCCCCCUCAGAUCAUUAUCCCUGUAGAAACCAAGGCUAACUUUGCUAUACCGCAAGCAGCAUGGGCUCACACUCACACUCUCCCCCCGUCAGCAGUCAGCAAAAUAAGCAAGUUGCACCAGAGAGCAGCAAACGAAGCAUGCAUGGGAACAGAGAUGCCACAUGGGCCCUGAUAGACUCCUUCAGCACACAAAUACCAGGACUCACAUAUAGCUCUAGCCCUGCUUUGGGGCUUAGCCUGAGCGAUGGCAGAUCACUAAAAGAGCGACUGCGCCGAAGCUUGUCAAAGAAAGUGUCUUGCAGAGCAUCUAAGAUUGCCAACCUUGGCCUGUCUUGCAGGGGAUGCAGCCAUUUCUUCAACAGUUAAAAGCAAACAUGGUGAGGAGGGCAGGUUAACUGAAUGCUUUGUAGCAGAGUAUUUAAAUUAAAGGCAUAGGAUGUAGCACUUGUAAAAUUCACAUCUCUACAGAUGGCUUAUUCAGCUUAAUAUACAGUCCUUAUAAAGCAUUCAGAAUUAGUUUCACGCAAAAUCUAAGAGCACCUUACGGACCUCUUUUUCACCAGGGGACACAUUAAAAAUCCCACUGCUGCAAUGGCUGUUUAACCACUGCUAUGGGAAGAACAGACAUUUUAUAAGGACUACUGAAGUAACACAGCAGUCAUGCGAGAAGAAUAGUUACAUGGUAGUUGGCCAUACAGCAUGCCAGGACCACCGUCACCUUCUUUGAGGAUUAGCAGCUAGAAAUGCAUUUGCUUUUUAAGUAUUUGUGAGGGUAACUUGCUGACACCAGGGAAAAAGGCCUAGAUGUGGAAAGCAACGAAGCGUUUGCAGUGUUUGAACUGCGCUAGGGUUUCUCAUUACAUAAACACGAAGUCAAGGAGGGCUUACAAAGAACGAGUGGUCCUUGAAGGUUGGCGUCUCUGGAGUGCCUUGGCUGUACAUGGACAUUCUCCUCUGGAGAGCAGAGGCCUUGCUCACGUUUCCAGUGGAGGGGGUCAGGUCUUCCACAUCAAAGGGGCUGCAAGCACACAGACAGGGAAAAAACAAGAGCGACAAAAAACACUGUUAGGCUGAUGGAGAAGGAAUUUCAGGUCUACAGAAAGGAUUUUUUUGAGAAGGGUGCUUAUUAGCACAUCAAAACUCAGAGGUGGCGUUGUUUUAAACUGAAGCGUUUAAAAGAAAGCAUUGUUAAUUAAGCAGCAGGCUCAGAAGUGCAGCUUUCAUUCCUGAUAAUAGCACUUUAUUCUCAGAAAUCAUUUAUGCAGCACUGCCUCCUUCUCAGAGAAGGGUAUUCUUGGAACUGAGUUGACAGGCAGCACGUGUGGUAACAAGGAAGGUGCUCAGCAGAGUUAACAGUAGCUAAUAGAGCUGUUGCAUUAUAAAGGAAAUCAGAUGCUGCCAUUGCUAGCUUCAUGUUUAUUGCAUUACAAGAAAUAGCAUACACGACUGUAAAAGUUACAAACAUUAACAUUACUUAAGAAAUGACAGUUACCUAUUUCAUUAAAACACACUGAGAAUUGAGUCUGUAUCCAAACGUUAUCAGCUUACCCACACUUAACACUGCAGACAGAGUGCUAAGAGACUUCCCACUGCCCUAAUGCCAUGUACAAAGCCCACAGACUCUAGCUUCCAAACCAUAUUUUUUCCCACAAAGAGAGAAGACACCACAUCGAUAGACCUCUUCUGUGUGGUUGAUUUUGAUUUAUUUUUCUUAGAACAGCCCCUUGACCCAGAGACCAUCCAACCAGUUCUACUUACUACCAGGUGAUUUCAAGGUUCAGCUUGAUUGUGCCAAGGUCGUUAAUGUCUACUGCAACCACCUGGGGCCGAGCUGCAAAUAGGUCUUUUGUUUCACAGGUAACGCUUCCUACAAGGAUGUGAGUAGCAAGGCCCUUCACUUCUGUCACCUUUAUGGAGAUCAGCCCAACAAUUAGAGGGAGGAAGACCAUUUCUUCUCCAUCCCAGCUUUGCUUGCCAUUCACUUCUAUUUUGCCUUUCAGUUUCCAUCGCUGGCGACCGUAACGCAUGAAAAUCUGAAAAAAAAGAAAAGUCCUCUUAUUAUCUUGAGAAAUAAGUUCUCUUAAUGCAAAAACAUUGGAAAGAGAAGAUCCUCAUUUGCCAGUUCUCUAACUCCUACAGCUUGAAGGGCGGCUAGGUGGGGUUUCGCCAUCCCCUGCUGAGAGGCCUCUGUAGCUGCAGGGCUUUGGCUGAUGAUGAAAACAGAGUGACAGUGGUGCAACACCUCAAACUGAGGUGGUGUGCUGGUGAGGCUGCCAUGGACUUCAGAGCUGGCUGGGUGAAACCAGCACCAACACUGGGCCUGCAGAGGCUUGCAGGUAUGAAAGCGGUGGGAAAAAUUGUUGAUAGCCAGAGUGGGGAAUCAAUGACCAAGACAGCUGUGAAGUGCAGGUUGUAGGGGGAAUCCAUAAUGAAGCUACUGCAAAUUCCCUGCAGGUGUAGCUCUGCCCUGGACAGAGUUGGAGACUUCUAAUCUAACCUGUUUCUAAGGAACCUGCUCUUGAUGUCCUCUAGGUCACUGCAGUGACCUGAGAUACUGACACAGCUUCACAGCAUGUAGCACUGGGGUCUCAAGAAAUGAUACUGUGUCUUUCUGCUCCAUCAAGAAAAGUCCAGUAUUCAGUAAAGAAUGUUUGCAAGGACCUCUCCAGCGAGCUGCAUACAUAGGGUGAGGCAUAUGCUUUAUUUCCAGAAGAAUUAGAAAUGCUUGUUGAGAACAAGGUGGUGAGAAGCAUGCCCUAAUUCUGGGAGACAUUUAAACACAAGAAAAAAGCCUUAUUUUCAUUUAAAAAAAAGUGUUGUAGUUCAUGGAAUAGCUAUCACCCAGUGCUCCAAAUAUAAUUUGCAGGUCUUGUGACAGAUGCUUUAACACAGGCAGAUAGAGAUCUGCGAUGCUUUUCAGGGAGCUUACAGGAGAAGUAGCAGCUGUUUCUUGGCAUGGAGAUGUCAGUGAGUUUUAUUCAAUGUGGAGUAAAAUGCGGCAGAAGUCCGCCUCCCUUUUAAUUCCCUUUCUGUUGAUCCAGAAGCCAAGUGCUACAUACCUCAUACUGAUCCCCAGGGCAGAGCCGAGCGAAGCCAGCCAGACCUGGGGAGAGAGACAGGGAGUGAGGGUCAGUGCAGAGGGACAGACCCCUGGGCCUACCCAGUAGCCACCAAGCUGUGACAGCAGAGGGCAGCAGCCCUGGCAGCCCACACUCUAUGGGGAGGACUGGUUUUUUUUCCCUUUGGUACAGAAAUUCAUCACGUAGUGGUUUUGUGCAUAUCAAAGACUCGCACUUCCCAGCUUUCGUUCCUCCAAGCAUAAUUCUCCCUUUAGUGUAAUAAAUAUAAAACAGAAGAAAUAGCUUCCUGACGUCAUCUGGCUUCAGAAGCUGAGCUUCAUGCUCUGACUAUCAGAACAUGUAGGCGAGCUGCUGAUUACCAUGCGGUGCUUGCAGGUUAACCCAAAUCAGCCCCAACUAUCUGUUCUAAUAAGUAGUCUGUGUUGUAACUUCUUAGUGGUAACAGUGAGGGAGAGGGACUGCUUCUGUAUGCAUAAUGUAAUCACUGCUGUACUACCCCAGUGUCUUUGAGAGCUAACUGCGUCAAGAACCACAAGUGAC
rnacentral:lncRNA from 1 species